CCGUGCGUAAGAGAGUUUAUGCCCAAGUAUAAUAUAUAAUAUUCAAUGACUCUCCAAAUUUCAUUUGUGUCACAUAAAUUGAGACAACAAAAAUAACAUAUAUUGGGUCCAUUUUAAUUUAUUUGUCUUAUUUUUUAAAAAAUUUUAUAUUUAAAAAUUGCGUAAAAAUACUAUAAAUCAUGAUAAUUGACAACAUAAAAUAUGUUUUGAAAAAGAUACUAAAAAUUCCAUUGAUUCUUGAAGUUAAUCUAUCGUAAAAAUACUAUAAAUCAUGAUAAUUGACA
rnacentral:lncRNA from 1 species